AGGAGGAACAGCCCCAGUGGCGGGGCCAGCUCUCGAGCCCUGGAUUCAGCUCCGGCAGGAACUCCGUCUGCAGGGCCUGGAGGCUCGGGGCGGG
rnacentral:pre_miRNA from 1 species